rnacentral:rRNA from 1 species
AGGACGAACGCUGGCGGCGUGGAUUAGGCAUGCAAGUCGAGCGACGGUAUUCCUUCGGGGAUAUACGGAGCGGCGAACGGGUGAGUAACACGUGAACAACCUGUCCCUUUGUUCCGGAUAAUUGGGAGAAAUCCCUUGUAAUACGGGUGAGGACGGUCCUUUGGCAUCUUAGGAUCGGGGAACACGCAAGUGGUAUGGGGAGGGGUUCGCGACCUAUCAGGUAGUUGGUGUGGUAACGGCACACCAAGCCAACGACGGGUAGC